rnacentral:lncRNA from 1 species
GGAGAGUUUGUUCUUGAGGAGUUGGUUAUCACAGGCAAUUUGAAAGAAAACCCAAAAGCAGCUUCCCUGUCUAUCUUUAUCACAGACAAAAGAUGCCGGUGAUCAACAUCGAGGACCUGACAGAAAAGGACAAGUUGAAGAUGGAGGUGGACCAGCUCAAGAAGGAAGUGACCCUGGAAAGAGUGAUGGUUUCCAAAUGUUGUGAAGAAGUAAGAGAUUAUAUUGAAGAAAGAUCUAGAGAAGACCCUCUAGUGAAGGGGAUUCCAGAGGACAAAAAUCCCUUCAAGGAGCUCAAGGGAGGCUGUGUGAUUUCCUAGGCAGGGGUGCAGAUUUCUUAGAAUAGUUAGAAUUUUAAUGAUAAUGCAAACUGUUCUAUAAAAUUAAACUUGUAUAUGUUGUUUAAAUUGAUAAACUUCAAGUUUUAAUAAAAAUGAAGAUGCAAU